UGACGGUGUCUCCUUACACUUGGCAGUGUC
rnacentral:piRNA from 1 species